AGGAUCUGAGUUUAGUUUUGGUUAUUGUUGUUGUUGUUGUUGUCGUUGGCAUCUGUCUGUUUUGGGAAGCAGUGGAAGAGUGCACCUUCAGACACUGUGUGUCCUAACACUCUCCAAGAUUUGAAAGGGGGGGAAAGGUGCUGGUACUGUGUACCAGUGAGUACUUCCAGAAAACAACAACAACAACAACAACAACACCAUCCCUUUAAAUUCAAUUAUGUGCAAUAAAGGUAGAUAAAUAGUAUGGCUGGUGGCUUAUUUGGCAUUUUAUUUGCUUUCACAAUAUCUUCCAGUUGUAAACUCUGCACAGUAUUUUAUUUGCCCAGAUUUUUUCAGGAAGUUCAGGUUAUUAUCCAAAACUAUUGCAGAAGCUGCUUAAGUUAAAUCAGGAGUGGAGAACCUUUGGCCUUCCAGAUUCCUGAACAACAACAACUCCCAUCAGUCAUAGCAAGCAAUUCCAAUGUCCAUGGAUGAUGGGAGUUGUAGUUCAGCAGCAUCUAGAGGGCCAGAAGUUCCCCACACCUAAGUUAGAUUUUGCUGCCUAUAGAUGCAAACAAUUAGUUCAGAGGUCUCUGCAUUAAUAGUUCUGUGAUUCAGUUAAUUAUUUGCAUGUGUCUGAAAGACCCAUGAAAUCUCAGUAAUUUAAGUUAUCAUGUUUAGGUGUGCAAACCAUCAUUCAUAAAAUGCUACCAUUAAGUGAAGGCAAGAGCGUUUUCAUCAGAUACCAAAUUAGGCAAUUGAGAUUUUUCAUAAAACAUAUCCUCCCAUAAAACUAAUCCUGCUUUUGUGAAUGCUACUGUUAUAUGAUCUUUCUCCCUUGGUCAGAAUAUUCACUUAAUGGUAAAAAAUGAUGCAGUAUUGCCCUCCAGAGAGGAAUACCUGUGGGAAGGCUUGGAUUUUUCAGUAAGUGAGGAAGACUUUCAUAGUUCAGAAAUUCAUCCAGGCCCUUAUAAUAUUUCCCAGACUGUAGUUCUUUUCAAGUAGCCCAUCUCAAGUAUCAUUCGUUUCCACAGUGCCAUGCCUGAUGCACCGAUCUUCAAAGCAAAUAAUCAAGAGGGACUCAAAUUGAAGUGUUGCCAGAGUUUUUAGCUGAAGAGUGUUGUUUCAUAUCAGAAGGGCAUGCUUUUAUGCUCAGCUCAGGAAGUCUGCUAAUCAGUUCAGCAGGUCAGCCUGCUCCAGAAUCUCCCUUUAUAAGUGGCUACUUAAUGAAAAGAUUCAAAGCAAGUCUAUUUCCCACUACAAUGACAACCUGGGAUUUGUGCUCAAGUCAUAGUGACCAGAACAUGGCUGCCUCAAGAGAGUGUCUAGCACAUUUAUACUGAUGCUAGCAAUUGUGUUGUUUGGCAAUAUAAAAGGGACACAAACCUAGACUAUUUGGUGGUUUUUCUCUCUUUCUCCUAGUAUUAGGAUGCAGCUAAGGGGACACUUGAUACUUAAAAUGCAUGCAGUUGAUAUCAGAGACCUAAGAAGUCCACAUGUUGCCAGGUGCAUAUUUCGGGUAGAAUACAUACAUGCAAAAUUACUAAACCUCUAAUUAGUUUUCCUGCAAGUACCCUAAGGGUUGUUGCAAUCAGCUGUUUUGACAAGAACUGGCUAUUCUCAAAAUAAUACAAUUGGUUCUUACAGACGUGGGCUGGGAUCCAAAGAAUGGGAUAGGGUGUCUCUGUUUUGUUCAGGGUUUUCUCAUCUUCCCUACAACCAUCCAAACCCAAAUGUUAGGGUGCUCCCACAACAUACUGCCAAGUGUUUGUGAGUGCAGCGUGUACUCAUGGACUCUCUACACCCCAGUAAAAAUGUUGGCAUAAAAAUAAUGAAAUAUAAAAUAAUAAUAAUUAAAAUAUGCCUUCUGCUUCUGAGAGUUGGUGCAUGCAACUGAUGUCUCCAAAAGAAACAAUGGUGGUAUCAUAAAGAGCUGGUGCAGGUAUAAUGUUGACACCUUCUUAACUAUGAUUAACAUAUUGGGAGCUAACCUCCCACCACAUCUUUUCUGGAGAGAGUGUGUCUUGGGCGCUGUGCGUGUUAGUGGCUUUAAACACAGCAAGGUUGUUCCCUGCCCACUGCAUUUCAAGACACAGUUUUAUGUUUCUGUACACACCAGAGAAAGGGUGGAGAUGUCUUCACCUGGUGCACAUUAUCUGAUUUUGUGUUCCUGUGCCUGAAUCCCACCUGAACCCUGAUUCAUGAAGAUGUCUGUCUGAAACCUGCACACCUUAGCUUAACCAUGGUUUUCAAAUCGGAUGGAAGCUGAUUUGAGGGGAAACGCAUCAAACAGUAGUAUAUCUCAAAGUAUUGGAGCCAUAUGGAUUGUGGCUAAUGUCAUGUGUAAUCUGCUUCAAACACCAGUGGCGGGGGCACACUGGAGCUGUAGGAAAGGGUAAUGUGUACACAGCCAUAAUUGUACGAAAGGGUGACAUUGGCACUGACCUCACCAACAAAUCACACAGACUCCUGUUUAAUCAUGAUCUGAAAUAGGAGUUUAAUGUAAACUUCAAAACCAACAUUAAGCCAGAUACACCUAGCAUUAACCAUGUUGAUGACAGUGCUGCAGUUGUUAAAACACAGUGCAACGUGAAUUCCAAAAAUAAAAAAACCCCAAUUAUCUUACCUAGAUAAAUUUUAGGUGUAAUCAAUAGUGGUCAUGUGUAGGACUGACCUCGGUUGGAGGGGAUGGGGAACAGUUAAGCACUGAAAGGAUGGGCCUUAAGGAGGUGCUUGUAAUCCUGUGGCCCACUUCUGAUCCUUGAAUGAUGGCUUCUGACAUGUCCAAACUAGCCUGGGACUGGCACAGAAGCUGAUUUUUCUUUCUAUUUUCAGUGCCAGAUCAUAUUCCCACCUAUGAUGUUGCAGUGUUGUGUCUAACAGAAACAGGUGGAUAAACAAGUUUAAAUGUUGUUAAUAUAUUAUUGCAAGUAAAACUCCAUGUUGCAGGAAGGCACACAAUCAGAGUGAGAUGCUAAAUACAGAAAGGUUUGGGUGCCAUACUGUUUUGCAUGCCUUGAUUUUUCCAUUUCUCCAGGAAGAGGUGUUGAAUCUAUGUAAGGCUACAGGCAAGCAAUUUGCUUUAGAUGCUUUGAGAGUCACCAUCUGUUGUAGGGAACAUCAUACAUUUCUGAGCUUAGAUCGCUGCAGCUAAAUAAGGAGGAAAAUGAGUUCACAAAGCAAUUAUUUGUUUUCAAAAUGUAAUUAAAUGUUCGUUUCACAUUUCUUCAUGCAGUCAGUAUAUAGCUUGAUGAAUUGAGGUCAUAAAUAGCUUGUCUUUAAAAAGAAGCCUUUUAGUUCACUUUUUUUGCACUCAUGCUUUCAGGUACUUAGGGAAUUAAAUAAGGUGGGUUGCAGCCCUGCCUUGUUAAUGAUUGUCUGAGAAAGAAUGUAUAGUUACUACACGGCCUAACUUAGCAGCUAUAAGAAUGAGAAUAUAUUGGAGAGGGUGCAUAUUUGUUUAGUCUGCAAUUAUAGCUAUAUUUGGUUACAUUGACGUAAUACAGCAGAAAAAUCAUACUGAGUUCAAGUUUAUAUAAGUACAAAAAUGUGUUUUUGCAUCCUUCACUGGUUAGCAGUCACUGAGAAGAUCAAUGAAAAUCUGCCUAAUAAAUUUAAAGAAAAGAAAUAGAAUUCAUUCCCUAUUCAAAAUAGUUUAAUCAGUUUCUCACACCAUAAUGAGUUUACAAACAACUCUACUAUACCUGUGGUGAAGACUAUGUGAAUGGAAAUGAUGCAUAUUUAUUAAUGUAUUACUUGUGGGAAUAUAGUCAUGGACCCAAAGCCUAUAUUGGAAUUUGUUACAUGGAAGAAAAUUUAUGUGAAAGGCUCGUAAUCCCAGAAGUAGAAUUAAGACGAAAUGAAUAAGUAAUUGAACCAAUCUUUGAUCAUGAGCCUUGAUUGUAUCUUUAACAACUCUCACAAAAACUAUAUAUUGAUAUUUAGCAGAGCAGUACGAUGUAGCACUGAGAACCACAAUGCUGAAUUUUCAUAACAAUGUUGUAGUGCAAAUGAAGGAUACUUCAAAACAGGUUGGUUAGCAUUUGUAAGCAAUAGUUUUCUUUUCUUUUUCUUUUAUUAUUAUAUAUAAUUUUAUUAUUUUUUGUCCUCAAAAUUACAUAUCCAGACUUCAAUGUUUGGAAAAGUGCAGUGUGUGUGUUUUCUGCUUCUGAUGUAAUUAUUGUGUGGACAUAAUAGUUUCACACAGUAUAAUUAUUACAGCUUCUCUGGCAUGGAGAUAUAACAUUGAAUUAAUGAGUUGCUUGCUACAAAAGAGACCUUUGGUUUUAAAUGUAGUUCAGUUUACAAACUGACCUCCAUUUAAUUCCAGGUCUCCACUUCUCAUCCUCCCUGCAACAAGAUGAAUUAUGUACCCAUCCUCCUCAAGAUCAACCGUGUGUUACAAUAUAGAUUACGUUUAAGGCAAAAAGAUUUCUGGAAGUAGCAAGGUACAUUUGUGAAAAUAUUUUAGGAAAAAUGUGCCGCCUAGGGAAUAUUAUAUAUCUCUCCUGAGACAGAUGGAUGCCAACCAUGUAGUUUCCUUCACUUGGAAUUCAAUGAGACUCAGUCACUGCUCUGCCAAUACAAUGCUGGUUGAGAUAAUCAAAAUGUACAGCUUAAUUGGAUGUUUCCUUGUGGAUAUUCAUAUUGAAGUUACCUAAUUACAUUUGUUAACAGAUGCUUCUGUGUGCAGAAUUUUGUUUUUAAAGAACUGUUUAUCAAAAAACCCCAAUCUUAAUAACAAUGGAGAUGUAUGGUAACACAUUACAUCUUUGAAUAAAUCAAACAGAUAAAUUCAAGAACCCCAAAGUUCAAAAGAUGGUAUUGGGGGCUGUUAGAAUUAUUGCACACCACCCCAAUCUGUGAGCAAGUGCUUACCCAGGCUUUGUGUUUCCUUUUGGAAAUGAGGCAUAGUGGAAACUGGUGUCUUUAUGAUGUAUGGCUUCCUUACACAUAUAUGCAACCUGAGCCUACGAUGUAGGGGUUCACAGCAUCAACAUCCCAAGGGGGUCUUGUUUCUUCUGUAGCCACGGCCUUGGAUUCAAGCAGAAAUCAAACACCAUGUUCUACCUCUCUGGCUUCACAGUCUGCAGCUUCUUCCUCUAGGUCACAAUUCUAGUUAUUGCCCUUGAUUUUUGAAAUGGCUGCCAUCUAUGUUUGGUAUAGGAGCUGGAAACCUGAUUUUAAGAAAUUGUAUUAAAUUAAUUUGAUUUGGUUUGAUUUGUAAUAAUUUGG